AGAGUUUGAUCAUGGCUCAGGAUGAACGCUGGCGGCGCGCCUAACACAUGCAAGUCGAACGGUUAAAGCCCCUUCGGGGGUGCAUAGAGUGGCGAACGGCUGAGUAACACGUGGGCAACCUGCCCCCCGCACCGGGACAGCCUCGGGAAACCGUGGUUAAUACCGGAUACUCCGCCUCCCCCGCAUGGGGGCGGCGGGAAAGCCCAGACGACGGGGGAUGGGCCCGCGGCCUGUUAGCUCGUUGGUGGGGUAACGGCCCACCAAGGCGAUGAUGGGUAGCCGGGUUGAGAGACCGACCGGCCAGAUUGGGACUGAGACACGGCCCAGACUCCUACGGGAGGCAGCAGUGGGGAAUCUUGCACAAUGGGCGAAAGCCUGAUGCAGCGACGCCGCGUGCGGGACGAAGGCCUUCGGGUCGUAAACCGCUUUCAGCAGGGACGAGGCCGAAAGGUGACGGUACCUGCAGAAGAAGCCCGGCUAACUACGUGCCAGCAGCCGCGGUAAUACGUAGGGGCGAGGGGGCGUUUAUCGGGGAUCA
rnacentral:rRNA from 1 species